rnacentral:rRNA from 1 species
AGAGUUUGAUCCUGGCUCAGGACGAACGCUGGCGGCGUACCUAAUACAUGCAAGUAGAACGCUGAAGAGAGGAGCUUGCUCUUCUUGGAUGAGUUGCGAACGGGUGAGUAACGCGUAGGUAACCUGCCUUGUAGCGGGGGAUAACUAUUGGAAACGAUAGCUAAUACCGCAUAACAAUGGAUGACACAUGUCAUUUAUUUGAAAGGGGCAAUUGUUCCACUACAAGAUGGACCUGCGUUGUAUUAGCUAGUAGGUGAGGUAAUGGCUCACCUAGGCGACGAUACAUAGCCGACCUGAGAGGGUGAUCGGCCACACUGGGACUGAGACACGGCCCAGACUCCUACGGGAGGCAGCAGUAGGGAAUCUUCGGCAAUGGGGGCAACCCUGACCGAGCAACGCCGCGUGAGUGAAGAAGGUUUUCGGAUCGUAAAGCUCUGUUGUAAGUCAAGAACGGGUGUGAGAGUGGAAAGUUCACACUGUGACGGUAGCUUACCAGAAAGGGACGGCUAACUACGUGCCAGCAGCCGCGGUAAUACGUAGGUCCCGAGCGUUGUCCGGAUUUAUUGGGCGUAAAGCGAGCGCAGGCGGUUUGAUAAGUCUGAAGUUAAAGGCUGUGGCUCAACCAUAGUUCGCUUUGGAAACUGUCAAACUUGAGUGCAGAAGGGGAGAGUGGAAUUCCAUGUGUAGCGGUGAAAUGCGUAGAUAUAUGGAGGAACACCGGUGGCGGAAGCGGCUCUCUGGUCUGUAACUGACGCUGAGGCUCGAAAGCGUGGGGAGCGAACAGGAUUAGAUACCCUGGUAGUCCACGCCGUAAACGAUGAGUGCUAGGUGUUGGAUCCUUUCCGGGAUUCAGUGCCGCAGCUAACGCAUUAAGCACUCCGCCUGGGGAGUACGACCGCAAGGUUGAAACUCAAAGGAAUUGACGGGGGCCCGCACAAGCGGUGGAGCAUGUGGUUUAAUUCGAAGCAACGCGAAGAACCUUACCAGGUCUUGACAUCCCGAUGCUAUUUCUAGAGAUAGAAAGUUACUUCGGUACAUCGGUGACAGGUGGUGCAUGGUUGUCGUCAGCUCGUGUCGUGAGAUGUUGGGUUAAGUCCCGCAACGAGCGCAACCCCUAUUGUUAGUUGCCAUCAUUCAGUUGGGCACUCUAGCGAGACUGCCGGUAAUAAACCGGAGGAAGGUGGGGAUGACGUCAAAUCAUCAUGCCCCUUAUGACCUGGGCUACACACGUGCUACAAUGGUUGGUACAACGAGUUGCGAGUCGGUGACGGCGAGCUAAUCUCUUAAAGCCAAUCUCAGUUCGGAUUGUAGGCUGCAACUCGCCUACAUGAAGUCGGAAUCGCUAGUAAUCGCGGAUCAGCACGCCGCGGUGAAUACGUUCCCGGGCCUUGUACACACCGCCCGUCACACCACGAGAGUUUGUAACACCCGAAGUCGGUGAGGUAACCUUUUGGAGCCAGCCGCCUAAGGUGGGACAGAUGAUUGGGGUGAAGUCGUAACAAGGUA